rnacentral:rRNA from 1 species
GCAAGUCGACCGGAAUUCUUUUUCGGUAGAUAGAACGGUGGCGGACGGGUGAGUAACGCGUAAAGAAUGGGCCCUUCAGACUGGGACAACUAACCGAAUGGUUAACUACUACCGGAUAUGAUGAGAUCUUGGCAUCAAGGACUUAUGAAAGCUAUAUGCGCUGAAGGAGAACUUUGCGUCCCAUUAGGUAGUUGGUAGGGUAAUGGCCUACCAAGCCGACGAUGGGUAGCCGGCCUGAGAGGGUGAAC